GACAAACCGGCCUUUCUGGGGGCCUCCGUAGAACUGGGGGCUUGAAAGAGUGUUGGCGGGCGGCGGGGCUUUUAUAGAUACUCGCCACAGAUCUGAAAGGAAGUCAUUAGGCCCCGAGGCAGGAGGAAGACACAGGCGUGGCCUUUUGCUCUGACUUUUCUACUUCAGCCCUGGGAACUCCAUCUCAGUACAGUAACUUUCCUCGGGAGCAAAUCCCGAGGCUGCUCUGGUACAUGCACCUUUGACUCCAUGCUGUCAACUCCAGUGCCUCAUAUACUCCUCUGUCUCUUGGGCAUUGAAAUCCUGAUGAUGCCAACCACAGCUGCCUCUAUGUGGGACCCAGAACCAGUGAAAUCAAAGAGCAGCAGAGUUUCAUUCUUAUUACCCAGGCUGGAGUGCAAUGGCGGGAUCUCGGCUCACUGCAACCUCCGCCUCCUGGAUUCAGGCAAUUCCCCUGCCUCAGCCUCCUGAGCAGCCAAGAUCACAGACAUGCGCCACCAUGCCCAGCGAGUUUUUUGUAUUUUUUUAGUAGAGGCGGGGUUUCACCACGUUGACCAGGAUGGUCUCGAUCUCUUGACCUCGUGAUCCACCCGCCUCGGCCUCCCAAAAUGCUGGGAUUACAGGCUUGAGCCACCGCGCCCCGGCCGGGUAAAAGAAUCUUGAUAGCAUUUUUGCCUACCCUAAACAGCUCUCAAUCCACAUGCAGCUCCACAUGGAGGUGGGUGGGGAGUUAUCUGGUUAGUAUUUUAGUCCAGGCCUCCCCAGAUGACACUGAUGCAUAGAGAACAGGGUUGCCAAUCCCAGAGCAAUCUCCUUGUUCCUUUCCAUCCAUACCCAGAUCCUGACCAGUCUUCUGCAGAAAUUUCUCUAAGCUUGACAGAGGGCUCAAGAGAAUGGGGCCAGAAAGGAGGCAGCCAGUCCAGAAAAGAGAUGUGCCCAUGCCCACCAACUGGAUCUAUGGCAUACCAUGUCAGUAAAAGAGACAGAAGAUCAGCAAAGACAGAUGCUUAUGUUUACCUCAGAGAGUAUGACAGCCACCAGAGGCCAUGGCCAGCCCAGAUAGGCCUUGUCUUGAGUGCACACCAGAACUCAGGGAUAUCACAAGUGAAGGUGUGUGGGCUAUCAUGUGGGGAAUGUGAGGGGGAAAUCUGGGAAAUUGUCAGGUAUAGUCCAUUCACAGCACAGUGCCCAGUGAGGUUCAGAGCAGUUGCCUGAUCUGUGCCAAGUGGGUGCCAAUGUGCUUGCCAGUGGCAGCAUGUUAUUAGUGUACCUGUACAUUUGUUAGUGUUCCCAGGGUAUGGGGAUACUUCUGGAUAAGGCUUUGAUGUAAGGGAACUUUGCAAUUCUCAUGAAUCCCAAGGCUCAAGGGGUCUGUGGCUGGAGGAGAGGAAGCUCUAUCCCCCAACCCUGCCCCACAGUCUGUGAGCUAUCCCCACUAUUCUGUAAAGCCUACCACAUGCCUCACC